GACGAACGCUGGCGGCGUGCCUAAUACAUGCAAGUCGACCUUAGUGGCGGACGGGUGAGUAACACGUGGGUAACCUGCCCAUCAGAAGGGGAUAACACUUGGAAACAGGUGCUAAUACCGUAUACUGAUGGAUGGACCCGCGGUGGAUUAGCUAGUUGGUGAGGUAACGGCUCACCAAGGCCACGAUGGAUAGCCGAGCUGAGAGGGUGAUCAGCCAACAUGGGACUGAGAAACGGCCCAAACUCCUAGCGGAGGCCGGAGGAGGGCAUCUUCGGCAAUGGACGAAAGUCUGACCGAGCAACGCCGCGGGGGUGAAGAAGGUUUUCGGGUCGUAAAACUCUGUUGUUAGGGAAGCGGUAUCUAACCAGGAAGCCACGGCUAACUCAGUGGCAGCAGCCGCGGUAAUAC
rnacentral:rRNA from 1 species